CAGAGGAAAAGCCCUUUCACCUGUAAAGGGUUGAGAAGCUAAGAUAACCUCGCUGGCACCUGACCAAAAUGACCAAUGAGGAGACAAAAUACUUUCAAAGCUGACGGGGACGAGAAACAAAGGUCUUGUCUGUCUGUGUGAUGCUUUUGCCGGGAACAGAGCAGGAACGCAGGUCAGAACUCCUGUAAAAAAUUAACAAGAAGACAACAGAAUGGAGAAUAAAGAGAAAAGCAAUGGUGAGAUUAAAGAAAAACAGCCAGCGAAAAAGAAAGUGGUGCAGUUGCCCUGAAAUUGUUUUUCCCCCUUCAUGGUCCACCACGGGCAUCCACUUAAAGGUUUCCAGCUCCCAGCCAUGACCUGUCCUGCACAGAGACCCAUGUCACUCCCUCCUGACCAAGGUUUUAAGGCUGCACAGCUCCCUGGAUUUAUAUUGUGAUAUCCCCAACAAGCCAGGCUGCCUAAACAGAACAGUGUCUGCACUUUGCUUUCUCUCCAAAGGCUACGACCAAUGUAUUGCCCAUAGUUAUAAGUUACCACACAGCUCCUUCUAAGAAAGUGUAAUGCCCACAGACCCCAGUUGUCAGCGGGCAGAAUUGAACCUGGGACCUCUGGAGCUCAGUGCAUGAG